rnacentral:tRNA from 1 species
GCACGCAUAGCUCAGUUGGUUAGAGCGCCACGUUCACAUCGCGGAGGUCUCUGGUUCAAAUCCAGAUGCGUGCACAA